UUCUAAGUAAGACGGAGGUAUGAACGCAGGGAUGAGAGGUUCAGGCGAGACAAGGCUCAAAGCGAGCAGAAAAGAUGGGCAUGUGGCUGAGACCGGCUCACCAUGGCAAUUGGUUGUCUGCUGUGGAACACAGUCUUAUAGUCAACGUUAAUGUGACUGGCACAUUCCGAACAAGGGGGAAGCAUAGUUAGAAUUGGACGAGUUCGGUUGUGUUUACUUCUGCAGCAGCAUACUGAGUACAUGGAAGGAAGAAGAGACCAGAGAUCGGAAGCUAAUACACUGGCCUAGUCCACCAUCGAAAGUCGAAGAAUGCAUAAUGAAAGGAAAAGACACAAAUGACUGUGCCAAUUACGUUCGGGUUUUGCAUCACUACAACAGGACACACCUUCUGACCUGUGCUACUGGCGCCUUCGAUCCACUUUGUGCCUUCAUCAGAGUUGGGUACCAUUCAGAGCAGAGCAAGAGAGACCAAAACCUAAUGUGAGUUACAAAAAAAUGAGACAGCGAUGGCUAUAGAAGGAGUGACCUGGAGCUACUGGAAUGCUCCUUUACCUCCCACAUCCAAUGUAUGUGCUUCACAGAAAAACAGUAGCAACAACUUCACAAAAUACAACAGUUAAAAUUACAAAGCCCAUUCAUCCAGGGGUGCUAGAAGGCAGGAAGAAG